rnacentral:rRNA from 1 species
UAAUACGUAGGGAGCAAGCGUUGUCCGGAAUCAUUGGGCGUAAAGCGCGCGUAGGCGGCUCGAUCAGUCUGUUGUGAAAGUCAAAGGCUCAACCUUUGAAAGCCGAUGGAUACUGUCGAGCUAGAGUCCGGAAGAGGCGGGUGGAAUUCCUGGUGUAGCGGUGGAAUGCGCAGAUAUCAGGAGGAACACCAACGGCGAAGGCAGCCCGCUGGGACGGUACUGACGCUAAGGCGCGAAAGCGUGGGGAGCGAACAGGAUUAGAUACCCUGGUAGUCCACGCCGUAAACGAUGGAUACUAGGUGUGGGAGGUGUCGACUCCUCCCGUGCCGUCGCUAACGCACUAAGUAUCCCGCCUGGGGAGUACGGCCGCAAGGCUA